GUCAUGUUGUCACACCAUCCUGUGAGGCCUUAACAUCCCUCUUGAUUUCCCUCCUUUGAGAGCAACUUCCUGCAUGUGGCUCUUGCAGCUGCCAGCUCAGUGGGAGAAGAAACUGCUCAGCCGUGUAGGAGGCCUGCUCUGCACUUGGGGACUCAGGGCUGCAGGCCACGGCAACAGCUUCUGGCAUCUCCCCGCUUCCCUACUGUCCCCUCUGCAGCACACCUAUCACCAUAUCUGUGCAGCUGGCCGAGCUCUCCGUCCUCAGGUCCCUGUUCACAUGGAGUG